ACCACAAAAUUAUUCAAUGGAAAAUUUUGGUGCAUCUUUUCGCUGUUCUAUUUUUCUCAUUAUUUGUAUCUAUGGCAUGUUGAUGAUAAAACAAGUGAAUGGCGAUGAUACAUGUGAUGAAUUUUUUUCUUCUUCUAUUCCUUGUUCACAACUAUCACCAUCUUGCUUAUCAUUUUGUAAACAACGUUAUGGAAAACUUGUAGUUGGUUCAAGGUGUGAUGACGAAGGUCCAGGACAUUAUACUUGUAUUUGCACCCUCAGUAUAUCUUGUCAUCUUCUUACUUAGUUACUACAAAUUACACAAAUUAUUAGCUCUUCUACAAAGAAGAAAAGAUAAAUGAAAAAGUAUAAUUUUAUUUCAAAA